rnacentral:rRNA from 1 species
GACGAACGCUGGCGGCGUGCCUAAUACAUGCAAGUCGAGCGAAUCAAUGGGAGCUUGCUCCCUGAGAUUAGCGGCGGACGGGUGAGUAACACGUGGGUAACCUGCCUGUAAGACUGGGAUAACUUCGGGAAACCGGAGCUAAUACCGGAUACUUUCUUUUCUCGCAUGAGGGAAGAUGGAAAGAUGGUUCUGCUAUCACUUACAGAUGGACCCGCGGCGCAUUAGCUAGUUGGUGAGGUAACGGCUCACCAAGGCAACGAUGCGUAGCCGACCUGAGAGGGUGAUCGGCCACACUGGGACUGAGACACGGCCCAGACUCCUACGGGAGGCAGCAGUAGGGAAUCUUCCGCAAUGGACGAAAGUCUGACGGAGCAACGCCGCGUGAGCGAAGAAGGCCUUCGGGUCGUAAAGCUCUGUUGUUAGGGAAGAGCAAGUACGAGAGUAACUGCUCGUACCUUGACGGUACCUAACCAGAAAGCCACGGCUAACUACGUGCCAGCCGCCGCGGUAAGAC